rnacentral:rRNA from 1 species
CAGUCGCCGCGGGAAUACGAAGGGGGCUAGCGUUGCUCGGAAUGACUGGGCGUAAAGGGCGCGUAGGCGGUUUGUACAGUUGGAUGUGAAAUUCCUGGACUUAACCUGGGGGCUGCAUUCAAUACGUGCAGGCUUGAGUGGGGAAGAGGGUCGUGGAAUUCCCAGUGUAGAGGUGAAAUUCGUAGAUAUUGGGAAGAACACCGGUGGCGAAGGCGGCGACCUGGUCCAUAACUGACGCUGAGGCGCGAAAGCGUGGGGAGCAAACAGGAUUAGAUACCCCGGUAGUCCCUGUCUCUUAUAA